UCUCACCCCUCCUGGCCUUGAUUUCUCUUGGCAUGUUGUCUCCCUUCCAGCUGCUCCAUGGUCUCCUGUGCCUCUGGGAAGCAUCAGCAGCCCCGCUUUCCUGCUGAAGCAUGCAGCCGGGGCGCUACACCCAGAUCCGGGGAUCAGUUUCAUGGGAAGAAUCCGGUGGCUUCUGCUGGCUGACAUUCCUACUCCUGGGCUGGCAAAACUGUCGCCAGGGAAAUGAGUGACAGCAUGUGUGGAAAACCCCAGCACUGGGCUCAGCCCUCACCCAACACUCAGCAACAGUAACUUUGCGGUGGUGGCGACCUAGGAGCAGAAAGAAUGGAAUGGGGUGCUGACCUCUACCAGGGCCUGCAGGAGGCGCUGUGUCAGAGCACCAAAAGGGCACCCAUCUUCCGGCUGCUCGUGCUGGGCCUCAGACUUCUUCAGCAGGGCGUCCACAUCUGAAGGGGACAGAGAAGCAGUGGACAGGUGGGCUGAAGCUCUGGGAACUUAAGACCUGGCCUGGGGUGGGCAGGGAAG